CAGUAGCCGCGGUAAUACGAAGGGGGCUAGCGUUGCUCGGAAUGACUGGGCGUAAAGCGCACGUAGGCGGACUUUUAAGUCAGGGGUGAAAUCCCGGGGCUCAACCCCGGAACUGCCUUUGAUACUGGAAGUCUUGAGUAUGGUAGAGGUGAGUGGAAUUCCGAGUGUAGAGGUGAAAUUCGUAGAUAUUCGGAGGAACACCAGUGGCGAAGGCGGCUCACUGGACCAUUACUGACGCUGAGGUGCGAAAGCGUGGGGAGCAAACAGGAUUAGAUACCCCUGUAGUCCCUGUCUCUUAUAC
rnacentral:rRNA from 1 species